UGACUUAUCCCUGGACCCAGCACAUAGGUGAUGUAAUUCUUCUGCCUGGUUUUUGUACCCAGGAGCCAUUAUAAUCCAUCUCUGGGCCCAUCAUUUAAAUGAUGUGACUAUCCUUUUCUUCCUGAGCCCUAUUCACAGGGAAAAUAGUGACACAUCUGUGGGGUUCUCACCUAAAUGAUGUGACUCUCCUGCCUGGGCUCACCUCUCAAGGGAAUUGUGACAUAUUACUGGACCAAGCACCUAGAUGAUGUGGCUCUGACAAAGGAGAAAUUGUGAUGUACCACUGUUUCCAGCACCCAAGAGAUUUGACUCUCCUCUUUUGCAUGAGCCCUGCAUUUAUUGUGUAUUGUGACAUAUGGCUUGGUCCAACACCUAGGUGAUGUGACUCUCUACUUCUUCCUGGGCCAAGCCAAAGAAGAGGAUUGUGACAUAUCACUGGAUGCAGCACCUGGGUGAUGUAAAUCUUUUCUUUUGCUGAGCCAUGCAUAUUUUUGGUAUUGUGACAUGUCACUGGACCGAAAACGUUCAGGACUGGAUCAGAGGCUACCGAAUAAUCCCCGCCCAUAGGCGGCCUUGUGACAUAUGUCUGCAUCUAUCACCAAAGUGAUGUGACUCUUUUUCUGCCUGCAUCCUGCACAUAGAGAAGAUUGUGACAUAUCGCUGGGCCCAGUAACCAGGUGAUGUGUCUUUUCUGGCAGGUCUUUUCCCACAGGGAGCAUUGUGAAAUACCACUGGGCUCAGCCACCAGGUUUUGUGACCCUUCUGCCUGUGCCCUGCUUCCAGGAAAUGUUGUGACAUUCCUCAUACAGCACCCAGGUGAUGUGACUCUUCUGCUCAUUUUCUACUUAUACUUGGGAUUGUGACAAAUAUCCUGGCCCAACUCCUAGGUGCUAUGAUGAUUCCCAUACCUGGAAUCAGCCAAUAGGGAGAUAGUGUCUCUUGUAUUGUAGCUUAGGGAAACAAGUAAGAUCCUGGGUGUCCUCUUUGUAUGAAUGUCAUAAAGAAUUAUCAAUCUGACUGGGCACGGUGGCUCAUGCCUGUAAUCCCAGCACUUUUGGAGGCCAAAGUGGGUGAAUCACGAGGUCAGGAGUUGAGGACCAGCCUGGCCAACAUAGUGAAACUCCAUCUCUACUAAAAAUACAAAAAUUAGCCAGGUGUGGUGCACGUGCCUGUAAUCCCAGCUACUUAAGAGGCUGAGGUGGGGGAAUAACUUGAACCUGGGAGGCAGAGGUUGCAGUGAGCUGAGACCAUGCCAUUGCACUCCAGCUUGGGUGACAGAGUGAGAUGAGGUUCCCUCUCAAACAAAAAAAAAAGAAAGAAAGAAUUACAAAUCUUUGGUGUGUUUCAUAAACCAUUUGGGUGGCACAAAGAGUGUCUUCACAGGGCUUAGCACACAGCUGAGAUUGUUUCUAAAAUGCAGAAACUGCCAACUGUUAGGAUUGUUACCCUCACACAUGGCAAAAGCCAACUAGUGAGCUCCUGAAUCUCACAGGUGGACACAGUUCAAAGUUGGAAUUGUUACUGUCAUAUAUUAACAUUUGGCCAGAAUUAAGGUGGUGACUCAUUAAUAAAUGCAGUGCAUAGGCAGGUGAAGACUCUCCAAUCUAGACCCUGCGACUCUCCGACUAGAGAGUGAGGACUCUCUAAUCUGGACCUUGCCAACUAUGCUCAGAAAGGUCUCAGAGCAGACUGUGACUUUUAUGCACACUCUACAAAGCCCUCAGGUGGUGCAGAAAGAGUUCCAACAGAGCCGAGCACACAGGUGAGAUUGUGCCACUCAUAUGCACAGCUACUGAAUCUUACACCUAGAACCUAGGUAUAUAUGGGAUUGUUAAUCUCAUACCUGGACAUUCCUGCAGGUGUGAUUGUGACAUAGAUUUGCCAAAAGGGAGCAUUGUGACAUAUUGCUUGGCCUUGCACCCAGGUGACUUGAGUCUCUUCUGCCUCCAUGCUGCCCACAGGUGGCACUGUCACAUAUCAUUUGGCACCACAUUCAGGUUAUGUGACUCCCCUGCCUGUGCCCUGCCCAUAUGGGCAAUUUUGACGUGUUG
rnacentral:lncRNA from 1 species